rnacentral:rRNA from 1 species
AAGCAAUGCCAUAGGAUGGGGCUGCGGCUGAUUAGGUUGUUGGCGGGGUAACUGCCCACCAAGCCGAUGAUCAGUAAGGGCUCUUAGCGGAGAGGCCCUGAGAAGGACUCUGAGACACAAGUCCUAGCCCUACGGGGUGCAGCAGUCGGGGAUUUUUUCCAAUGCACGCAAGUGUGAGAAAGCGAGCCAGAGUGUUUCUCAAAAUUGAGAAACUUUUGUCAGCUGUAAAAAUGCUGAAGGAUAAGGACUGGACAAGAUUGGUGCCAGCAGCCGCGGUAAUCCCAACAGUCCAAGUCGCAGCCACAAUUAUUGGGUCUAAAACAUCCGUAGCUUGUUUCGUAAGUCUCUCGUGAAAUUCUAACUCUCAAGGUUAGAGCGAGCGAGAGAUACUGCGGAGCUAGAGACCGGGGGACGAAAGGAGUACAGCUAAGGUAGUGGUAAAAUAUGUUAAUCUUAGCUGGACUAACAACAGCGAAGGCACCUUUCGACAACGGAUCUGACAGUGAGGGAUGAAAGCUAGGGGCGCAAAAUGGAUUAGAUACCCAUGUAGUCCUAGCCGUAAACACUGCACACUAAACAUCGGGAUCUCCUCGCGAGAUUCCGGUGCUGCACCGAAGGGGAAAAGUGUGCUACCUGGGAAGUAUAGUCGCAAGGCCGAAACUUAA